CUACACUCUAGGGACGUCUGCUUGCCUUCUGACAGCCUGGUGAUGCCCCCCCAGUACCGCCAGCUGCUGAGUGACCAUGGGCCACUAUCCAUAGGCUACACCCAGGGAGCUGGGAACAGCCAGGAGCCCCAGUGAAGAGUUGGGGAGAGAUCAACCCUGCCUACGUGGAGUAAGAACAGAAUAAAGAGACUAAAUCGAGGCAUUAUUCACUCUAGAAAGCUG
rnacentral:lncRNA from 1 species